rnacentral:rRNA from 1 species
AGAUUGAACGCUGGCGGCAGGCCUAACACAUGCAAGUCGAGCGGCAGCACGGGUACUUGUACCUGGUGGCGAGCGGCGGACGGGUGAGUAAUGCCUAGGAAUCUGCCUGAUAGUGGGGGGAUAACGUUCGGAAACGGACGCUAAUACCGCAUACGUCCUACGGGAGAAAGUGGGGGAUCUUCGGACCUCACGCUAUCAGAUGAGCCUAGGUCGGAUUAGCUAGUUGGUAGGGUAAAGGCCUACCAAGGCUACGAUCCGUAACUGGUCUGAGAGGAUGAUCAGUCACACUGGAACUGAGACACGGUCCAGACUCCUACGGGAGGCAGCAGUGGGAAUAUUGGACAAUGGGCGAAAGCCUGAUCCAGCCAUGCCGCGUGUGUGAAGAAGGUCUUCGGAUUGUAAAGCACUUUAAGUUGGAGAAGGCAUUAACCUAAUACGUUAGUGUUUUGACGUUACGACAGAAUAAGCACCGGCUAACUCUAGUGCCAGCAGCCG